GAAAGUAGUUCCAUACGGUGUGAAGCAUAAUAUCUGUCGUUGAAAAAAGUCUGUUGUAAACAUAAAUUUGUGCAGUAUUGAAAAAGGACAAAUUUGAUUGCAGCAACUCGUUCUUCACGUAUUCUAAUAUGGUCUGACUGAUAAUAAAUGCCUGUAGCUAUGUCGCCGACAAGAUUGGCCGACUGUGCUCUGGCAAAAACAGUGAGAAGGAUGUAAAGCCAAUUUCUGAACGGCAGUGUGUGCUCAGCAAUGGUGUUGGGCAACAGCCAGUUGAAAAGGCUCCUCAUCCAGACUCGCCUCCUCCACCAUACCAACUCCCGUCAUCACAACCUCCGGCUUACCAGACAUAAUAUCAACUAAAGAUGGUCAAAUUAUAAAAUUCAUUGCAAAUUAGCGAAAAACUUUUUUUGAAAAAAAACUGAAUGUAAAAGAUGAAAUAUAUUGAAUAUUUGGUAUUAUAAAGAAACCAGACUUUUGGACAUGCAGUAACAAUUCAUCAUAAUGAAAGAACAUGGCUGCACUUAGUAUUUGGGUUCUUUUUUAGUCAAAAUAAUUAGAAAGAAAACUGCUUAUUUGAUUGUAAUUAAAUGCUGAUAAUUUAAUAAAAAUGUUAUUUGUUUAUGACAUUUUUUAAAACAGAAAUAUUAAAUAAUUUAAAAAAAGUCUUGGCCAAUAAUUAUUAAAGACGCAUGUACAAGUGAAAAUAUAAAUGUUUGUUAUCUGCUGUUAAAUACAUUUAGUAUACUCAGGGUAUAAACUAAUUGUGAAAUUGACAAGUCAUGCAAAAAAAUAAAUCAGGGAACAAAAUUAAAGUUGAUUUGAUUUUACAUUUGCUGGCAAUUGUUUUUUAUUAUCGUUUCAUUUUUCAUUGUUUUCAUAUCAUUUGAUAUAUGUUUAAAUUUACUAACCAUGUUUGUUUUUAUUAAAGAAUUUUAUCUGUUUUACUGAGUAUGUUAAAUGAUAACCCUAUAAUUAAAAUCUAAAAUGACAAGACAAUGCUGUCAAAAUAGCAAAGUAAUGUUUCAAAUCUAAAAACUGCAUUUGUUUUAAGCUGAAUUUUUUACAUUCCAGAAUUUAAUAGAAUUUUAGGCAUUUGAGUGUUGUUUUACUCAUCCAUAUGUUCCUACCGCUUAUAAGUCGGGGGGUCUUAAAAAAGAUAUUAAAAGGAUAUUUGUCAUUGCCUUGCUCUUCUGAACAGUGGUUUUUUUUGUGUAAAAUUAUAUUUUAAUUUUAGAUUCCUUGAUUAUACAGUGUAUGAAACAAUUAUUCUAAAAUGUUCAAAAGCAGCAGAAUAGUUGUGGAGGGGAUUUUUUCUGUAUUUUCAAUGUUAUGGUUAUAAAAUACUCAGUAAUAACAGCUUUUUAUACUUAUAUAAUUUAUUAUAUGAAAUAUUUUGUAACAUAUCAAAGUAGAUACAUCUUUUUAUCUUUUAAAAGCAUUUUUAAAAAGAUUUAAUUUACAAUACAUGCACUUUUUUCUUUUAACAAUGUGAAUUUAAUGAGGGUUGCAAUUUGUUUUUUAAUAUUAGCCAUUUGUGGUUUUUAAUUGAAUUUAGUUGAAAAUAUUAGGAACGUUCACAUUAGCUGCAUUACACAUUAGAGAUUUUGUUUCAAUAAUACUAAAUUUAAAGAAAAUAUGAGUGUUUCAGUUAUUCCUAAUGACAUAAAACAUCCAUUUUAAUUAAUUAGCAAUUUGUUGUAAAAGCACUACACAUAAGAGAUUUUGUUGUAACAUGAAAGUUCCAGUGGAAUAUUUUGUUUUUGUUUUUUUUUUAUUUCAGAUUUUCUGUAAAACAAUAAAAUUGUUGUUUUAAACCUCA